AUUAUAUACGAGUAUAAAUGAAAUUCAUUUCUAAAUUCUUAAUAAAUAUUUUCUCAUGCCAGGUGUGGUGGCUCACGUCUGUAAUCCCAGCACUUUGACAGGCUGAGCGAGGGAGUGGAUCUUGAGGUCAGCAGUUCGAGACCAGCAUGGCCAAUAUGGAGAAAUCCCGUCUCUACUAAAAAUACAAAAAUUAGCCAGGCGUGGUGACAUGUGCCUGUAAUCCCAGCUACUCAGGAGGCUGAGGCAGGAGAAUCGCUUGAACCUGGGAGGUGGAGGUUGCAAUGAGCCAAGAUCACUCCACUGCACUCCAGCCUGGGCAACAGAGCGAGACUCCAUCUCAAAAAGCCAGGAGUGGUGGCUCACACCUGUAAUCCCAGCUCUGGGAGGCCAAGGCCAGUGGAUUGCUUGAGCCCAGGAGUUUGAGACCAGCCUGGGCAACAUGGAAAAACCCCAUCUCUACUAAAAAUACAAAAACAAC
rnacentral:sRNA from 1 species